AUACGAAGUCGGACCUGCCCAGUGAGUUUUAAACGGCCGCGGUACUCUGACCGUGCAAAGGUAGCAUAAUCAUUUGCCUUAUAAUUGAAGGCUGGAAUGAAUGGUUUGACAAGAAUACACCUGUCUCUUUAUAACUUUCUAGAACUUUAUCUUUGGAUGAAAAAGUCCAAAUAUAAUUAAAAGACAAGAAGACCCUAUCGAGCUUUAGAAGAAUUAAUGGAUUUGAUAAUAAUCAAUAGAAAUAAAAGAAGAGCCAUUAAGUAUACUUUGGUUGGGGCAACCAAGGAGUAGACAAAGCCUCCUUUAAACUUUAAGUCAUACAUGUGUUGAUCCAAAAUUAUUGAUCAAAGGAAUUAGUUACCGUAGGGAUAACAGCAUCAUCUUUUUUGAGAGCCCAUAUCGAAAAAAAGGUUUGUGACCUCGAUGUUGGACCAGAAUAUCCUAAAGAUGCAGAAGUCUUUAAGGGUUGGUCUGUUCGACCAUUAAAAUUCUA
rnacentral:rRNA from 1 species